rnacentral:rRNA from 1 species
UGCGCAGGCGGGCUUGUAAGUCAGUGGUGAAAUUUUGCGGCUUAACCGUAAAACUGCCAUUGAUACUGCAAGUCUUGAAUAUGGUUGAGGUAGGCGGAAUGUGUUGUGUAGCGGUGAAAUGCAUAGAUAUGACACAGAACGCCGAUUGCGAAGGCAGCUUACUAAGCCAUGAUUGCCGCUGAGGCACGAAAGCGUGGGGAGCGAACAGGAUUAGAUACCCUGGUAGUCC